UGGGGAAUAUUGGGCAAUGGAGGAAACUCUGACCCAGCAACGCCGCGUGAGUGAAGAAGGUUUUCGGAUUGUAAAGCUCUGUGGGCAGGGAAGAAGACAGUGACAGUACCUGCAUAGCAAGCCACGGCCAACUACGUGCCAGCAGCCGCGGUAAUACGUAGGUGGCGAGCGUUGUCCGGAAUGACUGGGCGUAAAGGGUGCGUAGGCGGCCGAUCAAGUUAGUAGUGAAAUACCUGGGCUCAACUUGGGUGCUACUACUAAGACUGAUUGGCUUGAGUGAGGGAGAGGUAAGUGGAAUUCCUAGUGUAGCGGUGGAAUGCGUAGAUAUUAGGAGGAACACUGGCGGCGAAGGCGGCUUACUGGACCACAACUGACGCUGAGGCACGAAAGCGUGGGGAGCAAACAGG
rnacentral:rRNA from 1 species